UGCAGCAAGUCAGCAGUGGUGGAAAUGGAAACGAGGUGGAUAUAAAGGAUACAUAAGAGAUAAAAUCAACAGAAUGCACAGAAGGCAGUAGAAACACAGCCAGAAGGAAGGCAAUGGGAUGAACACUAGAAGCUGAGUUUGGAGUGAUGCGGCCACAAGGAAAGGAACACCAAUACCAUCUGGAAGCUGGAGGAAGCAAGAGAUUCUCCCUGCAGUCUCCAGAAGGAACCAGCCCUGCUAACGCCUUGACUUCAUCCCCAUAAUCUUCAUUUCAGACUCCUGAAAGCUAGAACUGUACAUUUGGCUGCAGAGACAGAUCUGAACACAGGGAGAACACCAUGUGAAGAUGAAGGUAGAGAUUGGGAUGCUGUUCUUACAAACCAAGGUACACAAGAUUGCCAGCAAAUCACCAGAAACCAGAGCAGAGGUAUGGAACAGAUCCUUUAUCAUAGUCCUUAGAAGGAAACAACCCUGCUGACACCCUGGACUUGGACUUCUGACCUCCAGAACUGUGAGACAAUUAAUUUCUGUCAUCUAAGUCACUCAGUUGGCAGUAUUUUGUUAUGGCAGUACUUAAUAAAAGCACCAAUGGUGAUGGUGAUAAUAUCAAUAAUAAUAGCAACUCUGGUUGCUUUU